AAUUAGCUAAGUGUGCCUGCAACCUCUCCACUUGUUAGAUUGUUUUUUUUUUUUUUAAUUUCAAUGUCAUGCUGAUUCAUUUACCGGAUACCGACCCAGAGGCCUACUUACUCGAAGAGAUUACGCCUCUCCCCCUGUGGCAGCGGGUGGGACCAAGGGCAGUCACCUGACCCACGGCAGCCGAUGGGGGGCCAGGGUGUGGUGAUGACGACGUAAUCCGGUCCGGCCUUGCCUUGUGGGGACCCUGCCCUGGUGGGCGCUGGUGUGACAGCAAAGCACGUCCCACGGUCAGGGCAGGCGUCACAGAGGAGGUGACGUUUGAGGUAAACGUCGCUGGAUGCAUGGCAGUUGCCGCACAGAGUAGGAGGGAGAAACCUGGCCCUUCAGGGACCACAUGGAGCGUGAGGAGAGACCUUCAGCUGGACACCCGUUGAGAUAACACAGGCAAGCAGAGCCGUCAAGUAUGAGCUGAAACAUAAACCAUAGAAGACAUCACACCCCGAGUCCUGGCGAUCGUCGUGCUGUGGGGAACAGGCCUCAGGGAUGACCCCAAAUCUCUCUGCACGGCGAUGUUUACAGGAUACGGUUUACAAGCUGGAAUUGACCCAGACACCGGCCCGCCUGGCUACUCAUCCCCGUAACGCCUGCCCUGGGGGCAUCGUCCCCUGGGUGGGGGCUCCUGCAAGGCCGCCGUGAGAUAGAAGAGCCUGGCUCCCCACUCCCCCGCCUGCCCCACCGUGGGUUCCGGCUCCCACGGGGCUCCGGGGUCUCCGUCGGUCUGGGAUCCCCGCACGGCACUCUCCGGCUCCAUCCUCUGUGCCGUCCCUGCCUUCCGGUACGAGCCCUCGGGGUGCUCACAGCUGCCCCCAACCCCGUCACGCAAAGACACAAGCUGACGGCUGGAGCCCGCGUGGGAGGAGGGGAAAUCAGCACGAAUCCGGAGGCUCAACGCAGCAGAAACGGAUUCCCUCGGCAUCUGAAGGCCAGACGUCCGAGUUGGGGGGCGGGGGGGAGCGCUCCCAGGGAGGCUGAAGGGGAGGGCCGGCCUCGCUUCUGUGGCUCCUCAUGUUCCUUGGCCCGAGGCUGCACCCUCCAGCCUGUACCGGGGUCUCACGUGCCCCCCUUCUCUCUCUCCCUGCGCAGCUCCUCCAAGGACGCCGCUUGUUGGAUGGGAAGCCCACGUGGACGAGCGGAGAGGGGCACGUCCUGA
rnacentral:lncRNA from 12 species